UACGGAGGGUGCAAGCGUUGUUCGGCCUCAUUGGGCGUAAAGCGCGUGUCGGCGGCUUGGCAAGUCGGGUGUGAAAUCCCGGGGCCCAACCCCGGAACUGCAUUCGAAACUGCCUCGCUAGAGUCCCGGAGAGGAAGGCGGAAUUCCCGGUGUAGAGGUGAAAUUCGUAGAUAUCGGGAGGAACACCAGCGGCGAAGGCGGCCUUCUGGACGGUGACUGACGCUCAGACGCGAAAGCGUGGGGAGCAAACAGG
rnacentral:rRNA from 1 species